CGGACGGGUGAGUAAUGUAUGGGGAUCUGCCUGAUGGCGGGGGAUAACUACUGGAAACGGUAGCUAAUACCGCAUAAUGUCUACGGACCAAAGCGGGGGACCUCCGGGCCUCGCGCCAUCAGAUGAACCCAUAUGGGAUUAGCUUGUAGGUAAGGUAACGGCUUACCUAGGCGACGAUCCCUAGCUGGUCUGAGAGGAUGACCAGCCACACUGGAACUGAGACACGGUCCAG
rnacentral:rRNA from 1 species